UCUCUCUCUCUCUCUCUUUCCUGCUCCGCCGCGGUGAGACGUACUUGCUUCUCCUCACCUUCUACCGUGAUUCUGGACUAGACAGAAGACUACAGUUCAAUAAGAAGGAAACACAUUCAUUUUCAGUAUUGUUAAUAAAGAAGCUUACCUAAAAGAAGGAAAUCAAAACAAGAUAAUCUACACUGCAACUAGGGGAGGCUAUUGAAUGUGAUGGUCCCCUCAGAUGCCUAGAGGAAGAUGAACAAUGGUAAUCAGAUAUCCUAAAGUUAUCUUUAGGGCACUGGCAAAAUAGCAGCAAUGCCUGGUGGAAGCUGACUUUGUGCAUACACAUGAGAGCCCACAGAAAACUUCAAACUUCAUGGAAAUAAAACCUUCAGCUGCAGCUAAGAAUUUGGAGGUUACUGAAGGAGGUUACUUUUUCAAGAGCAGAAGUAAGGAUUCCACUGAAUUUGCUCACCAAAGAUAAGUCAGCAAAGAAAACUUACUGAAGAAUACAGGUUGUCUACUGUGUUUUUCUUAUUUUUUUUGUGGAGGUUAUUUGAUCAUGUUUAUUUGAAAAUUGACCCCUAUAUGACAACCCAUUCUGUUGAGUUUAUUGUUAAAAGAGCAGGAAUGAUUAAUGACUAUAGUGAAAUUAUGGAUUCCUAUUGUUGCUAAGCUAAUAUUGUAAGAACCAGCUAAAUCUUAUAAUGUAUGAUACAUUUACGUGUGGCAUUCUUUGGUAUAGAAAUGAUUGUGUAAAUGCUGACGCUAUGGGGUUUACCUUCUGCCUAAAUCAACAUCAGUGCUAAAAAUACAUAUAAAUAAGGUGAAUAUUUUGAAUUUAUUUAAGGCCCUUCUCCAAAAAAGAAUAAUAAUUUAAAUUUUUUUGUAGAACUAUGAGAAAAGCUAACUAAUUUGCAUAAACUGAGGAGCACAAUUGGAAAUAGAGCAAAAUUAUUUAUUAUUUUUAAGUGAAUGCAAGUUUAUUAAGAAAGUAAAGGAAUAAAAGAAUGGCUACUCCAUAGGCAGAGCAGCAAAAAUUAUUGAAUUUUUAAGUGAAUAUAAUCAUAUUGCUUUGACUUAUUGUCAUCUAUUUAUAAGAAAUAGCUAUUCCACAAUCUUCUUAAUGUUUAAAUAUUUUGUAAUAAACAUAUUAAUAUUGUAUAUUAUAUGUUAUUCAUAUAUAUUAAUAAUAACUAAUAAAUAUAUAUUUCUUAUGAUGUACCUGAUAUUGGAGUAAGUAUUGAGCCUGUGAGGUGAGUAACAUUAUUAUGUGAUUUAACAAAUGAGGAAACUAAAGUCCUUAAAAAUGGUGGCUUUUGUUGACAUAUGUUGUUUUGAAUGCUUUCCUUCCUGUUCCCCAUGAUUUGGCAGGAGUUCCUUGGGAAACGACUCCUCCACUGAAUGCAAUCAAGUUAAAACUAUCAAGCCAUAUACUUUUCUGCCUUCUACAAGAAUAAAUGAUGGUCAAAUGUUCUUUCUUUCAGGAACAUAAAUCUUAAGCAGGCUUACAUAAGGAAGGGAAGUGGUUGAAUCUGAGGUAAUUCCAUGGUGGACUUUGAAGAAAGCCUUCCAUGAGUUCCCAGUCCAUAUCCUCCAAAAGACAGCAUAUCAGCUCCUGCUUUCCAGACAAACUUCCUGGGUCUUGGGAAGAAGAAAGCCUCAGACUAAGAACUCUCUCUGGACUCAGACAGCCUGAAUUCAAAUCCCAUCUCUAUUCUUACUAGUCAUAUGAACACAGGAGAACCAUAUCCAUUCAGCUCACUUUGGACCACCUGUGGAGCCUGAUAACCAGGGAACAGAGAACCUGUUGAGAUCCAAAUUUGUGUGCCAGAUCACAAACUCAUCUGAAGCAGAUGCCACGUGUUACACUGUUAUGUCUCUCAGAGACUCCAGCACUUUGAAAGUAUUAGGCCUUGCUUAUUGAGAUGAAUAUUUUUUUCUAGGCAUGUCCCAAAGUUCUCAGCAUAGCUACAACCCUGAUUUUCACAGGAUUUUCAUUAAAAUUAGGUUCUAGAGCAUUACUUCCCUAAUGUGCAAUGCAACUUACGUUUAGUUUUCAAAUCAAAAUUAGUUUUGUUUUUCCACUGUCUUUGUCUUUGAAAAUAUUGAACUUGGGAUUUCCAAAAUUAUAAUUAGCAAUUAUUUUUACAUAUCUUUUAUAUACAUAACUUUUACAAUGGCUGCCAUUAUCAUGUAGGUUCUUAGGAAGUGUUUCUGAUCCUUGUAAAUAAAAGUGAAAGAAGAAAUCUUUACUGCUUGCUGACCCAUGUGACUAACCUUGAAAUCAGAGAGGCAGAUUCAUUUAAAACAAACUUGCAAACUGUUAAGCAAAGUACUGAAUCUCUGUGACUUGACCAAAAGUAAUUCAGACUUGACUAUUCCAGGCUCCCUUCUAUCUCUGUAGCAACCCAUGCAUCAUAGACUCCAGUUGCAAUGGAUGGUCAAGGAAUCUGCUGUGCCUUUUGAGUCUCUCCAUUUUAUAUUGCCAAAUUUAUCUUCCUUUAAUACUUCACUUCACAUAAGACACUAAGAUAAACAAGGAUGCAACUCACUUAUAUUUCAAAAUAGUACCUAGUGGUUAAAAGUACUUGUUCUGAAAGCAACUCUAUUUUUCUAGUUCUAACAUGUCUCCAACUAGUUAUCUCACCUUGAGCUUGGCACAUAAUCACUCCAUCUUACUUUUGCAUCUGUGACACAAGAAAAAUACCACCCACCUCAACAUAGAUCUUAUGAAGAUUAAAAUAAGAUUAUGAAAGUAAAAUGCUCAGCACAAUGUCUAAACGAAAAUAAAUGCUCAGCAAGUAGGAGCUACUAUAAUUAUUAUCCAGAUCAAAUAUUUUCUCCUCUAUGAAGCUUUCUUAUUCUUCCCCAGCUGGAAUUACUUAUUUUCUUCCUUGCUUUCUACACCACACUUUAGUCACCACCAUGCUGGCACUUGUCUCACCGCAUUAUAAUUAUUUAUGUGCCUGUGUUCCAUAACCAGAAUAUGGGACUUAAGCUUCUUUAUACCUCCAGCAUAAUUGUUUCAUGUGUGCUUUUAGGUAAUGGAGUAAAAUGGAUGAAUGAGUGAAUGCGACUAUAGUACUAAAUGCUCUUAGAUAAAGAUGUAAUUAUUCUUAAGUGAUAAAAUUAUUCGAACAUGAGUAGUUCAGAUAAUGAGAGACUGUCAUAGAAUUACUUGAUAAAAUCUAGUCAAUAAAAUGGCUUGGCAAUAUAACCUUUAUGAUUUCUUUAAACAAUCAUUCAUUUCUUUCUGAAGAUGAGAAGAGGAGAUUCCUUCUCCCAUCUUUAUAUUUCAACAAUGAUUAGAAAACAAAUUGAUCUCUGGGAUCAGUGCCCAAUACCAUUAAAGUGGUAUACAUCUUACAAUUCUUAAUUAAUUUGUGGCAUACAUAUACCAGUCUCCACAGCCAGCUUCAUCUGCAUACAGCAGCAUAAUCACUUUUUUCCUUAUAGUAAAGACAUAUUAUGAGUCAUCAAAGUCUUCUCCGGGGGUUGUGGUUAUCAUCUGGUAAUCACACCCUUGGGAGGUUAAAAACACUUAUCUUUGGAUCAUGACUUGCAAUGCCCCAGGGGUGUGAUUAUCUCAGGCAACUCACACUUUCUGUCAUGCCUAAUUGCUUAAUUAUUAUAGCUGCAAGUUCACACCACCAUACAGGAACUCAUGUUGUGUCAGCAUUUCCACUAUAAAUUCCUUUUUCAAGAGUCUAUAACUCAGCCAUAAAAAAAAAAAAAAAAAAAACCUAUGGUCCAUUGAAGCACUGCAGUAAGAGUCUUAUUCCAGGAAACAUUUCUGUAAUAGGUUAAUUGUAUCUUAAAAAUUGGGUCCUGAUUCUCAUAGUUAGUUCACCAAAGAAAUAAAUGCUAAUUAAAUGUCUCUAAAUUAUAUAUUUUUCUGUAUGGCUGGGUAAAUAAUGUAAAUCCUAAAGACAUAAAUAUUAUUUUUUAAAUAUAACAAGAAUGGCUCAUACAAUUUCCAGUUUUUUGGAAAUACACUUACACAUAUUUAUAAAAUAUUAUAUAAGUAGAAUGAGCUAAACCAUAGUUAGAGAACAUUGUCAUAUGCAAUCAUGUACUACAUAAUAUUUCAGUCAGUGGACAGCAUGUGGCAGUGGUCACAUAAGAUUAUAACGCAGCUGAAAAAUUCCUGUUGUCUAAUGACAUCAUGGCUGUCAUAACUGUCAUGGCCGUCAUGGCCAUCUGAACAUUGUAGUACAAUGUAUUCCUCAUGUGUUUGUGGUGAUGCUGAUGUAAACAAGCAUCUGCACUGCCAGUUGUAUAAAAGUGUAGCACAUACAAUUAUGUACAUACAAUUAUGCACACACAAUUAUGUACAACACAUAAUAUUUUAUAAUGACAAUAAACAAUUUUGUUACCGGUUUAUGUAUUCACUGUACUAUACCUUUCAUCAUUAUUUUAGAGUGUACUCUUUCUACUUAUAUAUAAAAA
rnacentral:lncRNA from 1 species